rnacentral:rRNA from 1 species
CACUGUCACUCCUACGGGGAGGCAGCAGUGGGGAAUAUUGCACAAUGGGCGCAAGCCUGAUGCAGCCAUGCCGCGUGUAUGAAGAAGGCCUUCGGGUUGUAAAGUACUUUCAGUCGUGAGGAAGGCGGCGUCGUUAAUAGCGGCGUUGUUUGACGUUAGCGACAGAAGAAGCACCGGCUAACUCCGUGCCAGCAGCCGCGGUAAUACGGAGGGUGCGAGCGUUAAUCGGAAUUACUGGGCGUAAAGCGCAUGCAGGUGGUUUGUUAAGUCAGAUGUGAAAGCCCGGGGCUCAACCUCGGAAUUGCAUUUGAAACUAGGCAGACUAGAGUACUGUAGAGGGGGGUAGGAAUUUCAGGUGUAGCGGUGAAAAUGCGUAGAGAUCUGAAGGAAUACCGGUGGCGAAGGCGGCCCCCUGGACAGAUACUGACACUCAGAUGCGAAAGCGUGGGGAGCAAACAGGAUUAGAUACCCUGGUAG